UUCCUAUUCUCAAUAAUCUGCGUCUAUGGAUGUGUCCUAUGGCAUAAAUAUUUCAAUGAUACAGUAGAUAGCUCAAAUGAUAACUCAUCUAAUCACGUAGGCAAAAAUAACCAUUGUUCUUCCGAUCCCAAAGGAAUGGUGAACUCAUCCUCUCAAAACUCUGGUGAUGUGAAACAACGCAGAAAAUCCAAGUCAGCCAAAUAGCCAAAUUGAAUAAGACUGAACCAUCUUCCUCCCCAUAUAUUAUUGGGAGAAAGACUUUCAGAUUCUCAAUGGACGUUUCAUACCUUUGCGAAUGCUGUGAUUAAUAUUCUUUUUUUUCAACCUCAGUUUUAGUAUUCCCGUGUAAAGAGGAAGCUCAUGUAAAUUAGCUCAUGUUAAGGUUCUCUUACGCCCAAAAAUCAGGAUUCUUUUUUUUCUUUUUCUAUUAGCAUUAAACCAGAGACUUUAAAUGAACUCUUGAAAACUAAGAGCAACAAUUUUGGUAUAUAACUUUUACUAUAUAACAUUAAUCUAUGGUGAAACUGUGGAAAUGCGUAUCUUAGUUUCCAGAGUUGCCACAUUCAGGGAAAAUGAAAACAUUGUCACGGAAGAAUCGUUAACUCACCUUUAUUUGCUUUCUAGAAUGAGUUGAUGUUUUAAAUAACAAAUUUUGUGUGAAAACAAUUUCACAUUAGGUCUUCUUAACCAUCUGGCAUACCCUCAAAUCUCAUUAAAUUUUACCGAAAUUUGUAAGGAAACAGAGAAUCUUCAGGAAAAUUCAUCUUGUAAACUCUGUGACAACCCUGUUCUCUUCAUACUUAACUUUCUACAGGGAUAACUCCUAAACUUCAUCUCUUUAAAAUUCCAUGAUUUUUCUCGUUUAUCUGAAGAAUAUUCUGUGAAGACUUCAAACCAUGAUGUUGGCUCAGUCUCCUUUUAAAAAGUAAAAUAGGAGCAAAGAUUU
rnacentral:lncRNA from 1 species